rnacentral:lncRNA from 1 species
AUCUUCCAGGAUCAAGUCAUCCUCCCACCUCAGCCUCCUGAGUGGCUGGGACUGCAGCCUUGAUCUUCCGGGAUCAAGUCAUCCUCCCACCUCAGCCUCCUGAGUGGCUGGGACUGCAGCCUCGAUCUUCCGGGAUCAACUAAUCCUCCCAUCUCAGCCUCCUGAGUGGCUGAGACUACAGGCGCGUGCCACCAUGCCCAGCUAAUUUUUGUAUUUUCAUUUUUAGUAGACGCAGGGUUUCACCAUGCCGCCCAGGCUGGUCCCAAACUCCUGGGCUCAAGUGAUCUGCCUGCCUCUACCUCCCAAAGUGCCGGGAUUACAGGCGUAGGCCACCGCUCCUGGCAGGAGAGAAGUGUUUCUGAGUGGUUCCUGUUUAUCUCAUGGGGACCCUGACCGCUCAGUCCACACUGCCCUUGUCUACCCCAUGGCCUUGGGUGUGGUUGUGGCUGGUGGCUCUGAAGUCCUGCGCCUGGGCUCAGCCUCCAGCUGUCUGUCCCUGCGUGUGAGCCUGCAUUGGCUCUGCAGCCAUCCCUGUCCUCAGAGUGGUCGGAGGGUGUCCUGCCCGGCCUCUCGCUGCCCUGCCUGGCUGUGCUGGGCUGGUCCCUCAGUCAUUCUACCUGAAGUCACGUGGUGCCCAAUAUGUGCCAUUCUGAGGGGCCCCAUGGCCAUGUCCCAGAGGGAAGAGCAAACACCAUAGAGGAAAGUGCUCACAGCUGGAGGACAUGGGUGCCCGCCGGGGCUCAGCCCCAAGGGGGGCACAAGCUGAGAGUAGGCAGGGCCCAGGCUUCUGCCCCCAUCCGCUGGUGGGGAGGUUCUGUGGCUCAGAGGAGGUGGGUUUGGAGGACAGCUGGACUAGGUGGGUUCUGGCCCACUGGGGCACAGGAUUGGCCGCUG